rnacentral:rRNA from 1 species
UACGGAGGGGGCUAGCGUUGUUCGGAAUUACUGGGCGUAAAGCGCACGUAGGCGGCUUUGUAAGUCGGAUGUGAAAUCCCUCGGCUCAACCAAGGAAGUGCAUUCGAAACUGCAAAGCUUGAGUACUUAAGAGGAUCGCGGAAUUCCCGGUGUAGAGGUGAAAUUCGUAGAUAUCUGGAGGAACACCGGUGGCGAAGGCGGCGUCCUGGACCAACACUGACACUGAUGAGCGAAAGCCAGGGGAGCAAACGGG